CGGGAUAACAGAGGGAAACUUCUGAUAAUACUGGAUAAGUUAGUAUAUCGCAUGAUAUGCAAAUGAAAGCUACGGCACUAAAGGAGAGCUUUGCGUCCUAUUAGCUAGUUGGUAAGGUAAGAGCUUACCAAGGCGAUGAUAGGUAGCCGGCCUGAGAGGGUGGACGGCCACAAGGGGACUGAGAUACGGCCCUUACUCCUACGGGAGGCAGCAGA
rnacentral:rRNA from 1 species